GUGCCAGCAGCCGCGGUAAGACGAGGGAUCCUAGCGUUGUUCGGAAUUAUUGGGCGUAAAGCGGGUGUAGGUGGACUUAUAAGUCAGGUGUGAAAUCCCAGGGCUCAACCCUGGAAGUGCACUUGAUACUGCAAGUCUUGAGUGUGGUAGAGGCUAUUAGAAUUCUUGGUGUAGUGGUGAAAUACGUAGAUAUCAAGAGGAAUACCGGAGGCGAAGGCGGAUAGCUGGGCCAACACUGACACUGAGACCCGAAAGCGUGGGGAUCAAACAGGAUUAGAUACCCCGGUAGUCC
rnacentral:rRNA from 1 species